GGAACAUAGUGUUUUUUCAUGACUGAUGUAGGCUAGCCCCGGGACACAGCUCCUGAGGUGGGGAAGCAUGGUCUGUGGCAGAGGACAAAGGUGCAGCUGGCUCGCUGUACCUGGGAUACAAGGAGGAACAUAGUGUUUUUUCAUGACUGAUGUAGGCUAGCCCCGGGACACAGCUCCUGAGGUGGGGAAGCAUGGUCUGUGGCAGAGGACAAAGGUGCAGCUGGCUCGCUGUACCUGGGAUACAAGGAGGGUCACUGGGCUUUCAAACCUCUGAUCAACUGGGAACCAGUCUGCAUUUCACUGACCCACAUUAAUCCAAUAUUUAUGAGACUUUAUCAUAAAAGGCUGUAACCCUAUCAUUGAAGGUAAGAUACUCUCUAAUACCCACCUUAAUAUGUUUAGAAAAUCUGAUUGCAAUUUGACUGAAUGAUUACAUAAUUGUAAUAAGGGAUAAUAUUUUUUUCAAGAUUUGAAGUGUUUUAUAUGGAAUAAUGCUUUAGUUGUCAGCCAGUAUUUAAUUUGUUUCAGGGUUAUCUGAAUUUAGCUUGACUGUGAAGAGAAUGUGUUAAUCUUAGAGAGUAUUUUUGUUUUGUACCCAGCAUCAAUGUCAGGAGUAUUCAAACAUCCCUGUUGAAUUACUUAUGCGUAUGAUAUAUGUAGAACUUCAUGAAAAUCAGAAAAGAAAUGGUUGGCUACCUCCUAUUGUAUGGGUUUGCGGAAUAAACUAACUUCAUGAUACUUAGUGGGAAAGGAUUUAAUUGUUAAGGCAUCUUACUGUCCAUAAAAUACUUUAAGGACUUCUAUUCAAUUAUAUAAGUUGACACCUUAAAAAAAGGGAUAAAUGCAUGGCUAUCAAUUGACUUUAGUAAAUCCUGACUAAAUAUUUAUUUUACUAAUAUGGGCUAUGCAUGUUCCACCACCAUAUGAAAAAUUGUGGCUAAUUCCUUUCAGGACAAAACCAUUUUAAUGUAUUCUAUUGUGGAAAAUAUUAACUAGGUGCUAUUUAUACUAAUAUGGAAUAGAGAACUCCUAAUAUUUAUACAUAGUGUGUAAACAGUGAUUCUCACUUUCCUACAUUCAAAUAACAUUGAACAUUUUUUAAAAGUUUCUACUAUAAUAAAGACAUAAGUUUCUGUACAAUUUUUUAAAAAUAAAUGGAUUUGUUUCAUCAAAAAGUGUCUUUAUUAUACAAAUCUCCUAUCUUACUCUUAACAGUUUCCAAUAAAUUAGAAAUUAUCAUUUACUUUUGCAUUAGUCUUACAAAGGACUUUGAUUUAAUUCCCACUACCCACAUGCCUUAUUCUGUAUUACAUGUCCUUCUGUAGUUGAUAGUUGUUCAUAAACUUAUGUAAGGGUACAUACAUCAAGACAAUAUAAUAUAAAUGUUUUAAAGAUUCUUGAAAUACAUAUAUUUUUAGAGAGAAUCAAGAGAAAAUAUCUUCUCUAGAACACAUUAACACUAUAUUUUUCUUAUUAAAACUGUUUAUUUGAGAAUAUGUUAUCUACUAUAAAUUUUUGAUGUUUCAAAGAUAUAUGACAAGUUCUACUUUUGUCUUAAUAAAGAUAUUUUCAGUUAUUGUAUUCAUAUAAUGACUAACUUGGGAAACUGAUACAUAUUGUUACCAUAGUGUUCUAUUUUAGAACACUUCAGUAUUUCCUAUAUGGGUUCCAGUUAAUAAUCCAUUUGAAGAUCUUAUCCCUGAAGGAAAAACUCACUUGUCUCAUUAGAAAUUUCAUUUUCUGGGCAUGGACUGCAGUCAAAACAACAGGCUGGCAUUCCAUUCUUCCAGACUUUUCUAAAUCCAGGACCACAAUCGGCACUGCACACAGAGGUUGGCAUCUAAAGGAAAAAAGAGAUGUAUCGUGCUAGCAGGUGUUUGACAUACCCCUUCUGUAAUUGUGUUAAAUAGGUAUGUGAUAUUAAUGAGUUUAUUUUAAAUAAACCAACAAAGUUACUGGAUUUUACAUAGUACAUUGUAUGACAGUCAUCAAUAUAAGAAAAAAAUUGUGGGAAAGUUGAAUUGUUUCCCAUCAACAUGAAAUUCAGGAAGAAGAGGUAAUAGUGUCUUGUAUGCAACCAGUGCAAAUAUUGCAAGCUGGUUAUUCUAUUUAAUUCUCGUCUCCUUAAAACAAAGUACAUUAUAAACACACAAAUAAUCCUCAUAGAGAGAUUAUCUCCAUCAGAAUAGUCUCUCAUCAUAUAUGUGAAACAUAUUUUAAAUUGGUAAUUGAUGUAGGAGUGCCCAGCUUAUUGGGGGCAGUGUUCCUUCUAGGCAGUGGUACAUUACACAUCAUGAAGAACAAGCCAGUAAGCAGAGUUCCUUGAGUGACUUUGUUUAAGUUGCAUUAUUCAGACCUUGUCUUCCCUUGAUUGUAACUCAUGAGCCAAAUCUAACUUUUCUUCCUCACUUUCUUUAUAGUUAGUGUUCAAUUACAUCAACUUAGUAUUCAAGUAUGUGUAAAGGCAUACAAAACCAGGAAAAUACAAGCUGAAAUAUCAGAAUACCAAAAUAAUGUCAACAAGUUUAGGACAACAAAUCUUAAGAAACUAAGUGGAAAUAGAAAAAAAAAACAAAACAAAACAGCUGCAUAUGAUCACCACUAUUGCAUUUUCGUGAGGAGAUGCUGAGUUCCUGUAUAGUGAGCUGGAAGAUGGAGGGUUUCCUAAGAGAGAAGUCUUUACAAAGCCGUGUCUUCAAGUAGCUUCUUGGAAUCUGUCCUCAGUUGGAUUUCAUUUGUAAAUUAAGACACCAAGAACCAAUAGCUGGGAAGGACCGAAAGAGUCUACUUUUAGCCUUCCCAGGGCUUGGAACCAAGAGAAGGAGGAAGGGAGAGGUCUGCCUGCUGGAUACUUGGAGUGCCAACAGAGGAGAGGCUGACUCCCAUAAGGUAAAAAAUACAAGGAAAGUGCCCCAGACUCUGUGCCAAGAAAACCUGCCCCAGAAUGCUGUCUGAUUGUAAUUAUGUGCAGCUAAAAAGGAAUAUAGAAUUAAUAAGUAAUAAGUAGGGAUUAACAGCAUGGAGGUAGGGCAGUGACCCAGCAUUUGUGCUCUUUAAUUCAUAAGAAAAUAUAAAGUCUAUAUGUGUGUUUCAUUGACUAACAUAAAUCAUUGAGGCAGGUAGCAAACCAGAUGCAGGAUUAAUUAAUACAUAUUACAAAACACAGGACCUGAUCCUUCAGUUGGGAUGUUGAAGUCUGUUGGAAGUUCUUAAUCAAGACUCAGGAAUGUCCACAAAAGAUAAAGGCAGGAAGACGAUGGUCUUAAAACCCAUACCCAAAGUGACACACCUACUCCAACAAGGCUACUAUUCCAAAUAGUGCCAAUACAUGGGUGAAGUAUAUACAAACCCUCACAUUCUGUGAGUGCAUAAAUAACAGAAAUUGGACUUUUAACCAUAAUUUUUUCUUGUUUUUCUUUUUUUUCCAAGCUGGGGACUGAACCCAGGGCCUUGUGCUUGCUAGGCAAGCACUCUCCCACUAAUCUCCAACCCCUUAACCAUAAUUUUUUUAAAAUAAAUAUUUGUACAGUGCUAUCAUGGAGAAGCAAAAUGAGACAAUUGGAAAUUUAAUAUGAUCAUGGUGCAUGAUAUGAAAUUUCGAAUGAAUCAAUAAAAAUUAUGUGAAAAAUAAACUAGACUCUUUUUUUAUGAUUUUUGAGUACAGGUGACCACAAACAUUCAAACAUCACUAAAAAUAUUCUGUAUAUUAUAUUUUAGUUGUUAUUUCAAAAGUGUUAGUUGUUAUUUUCGAAAGUGUUUUUCCUGUCACUCGAGUGGUGUUUAUACAUUAUUUUGAUCUCUUGUGUUCAUCUUAGUAUUAAAUAUGAUAGAGUUCUUAUAAUGACUUUCAUAGUGCUCAUUGUUGAGUUAUGGUUUUUGUAAUUGUGUUCAUCCUGAAAAUUUUGUUGUCUCCUUUUAUUAUAAGUAAUAAAUUCACUGGUUAUAGUAACUGAGUUGGCAGUUACAUCUCUAAAUGUUUUAAAUAUAUAUUUUUAAAUUCUCCUCCUUUAAAAAUAUAAAUGGUAUGCUACAUCGAACAAAACUUAGGAAGAUAAGUAACAAAGAUAGAACAAGGUGGGACACAUAUAUCUCCCUGAGAAGGGGAAAUAACGUAGACAUGGAGGGUGAGUGGGUUUGGUGACUGAAUGGGAGUGUGAUGGGAUGAGAAAAGAAGGGGUAGACUAAUAAACAGGUUGUUUGAAGAGAGCACUAAAAUGGGAGUGGCAACUCUGAGUCAUGCUAGAAUAUUAAAGCAAUAGAAACUCCCAGAAAUUUAUGAGGAUAACUAUGGGUAACCUUCCUUGAAAAAUGGGGUAUGGAGUCUGUAAUGGCCAUCUCCAAAAACCAAGAAGAUUUUCAGUGUUGGGAUUGAGACAAUACGCUAAACACAAAUCCAUAACCUACAAUUUACCCUGCCUAAUCAUGUGCAGGAAUAAAGAUAUAGCAGAGGAUGAGGAGAUAACUAACCAAUGACUGGCAUAGCUUGCAAAUGUUGCCAAGAGAGAAAGCUCACCCCUGAUGCUGGUUAAAAAAAUUCUGAAAUAUUUGCAUGCAAGAAUCUAGCAAAUCAUCAUAUGAGAGAAUUCAACAAGCCAGUGAUGAAACCAUUUCAGAAAUCAAUGCCCCCAAAUAGGCAAAGUUUGGGGAAUCUUGGAUAAGAGGACAAAGAACUGUAAGAGCAAGAGGGAUCAAGGAUACAAGAAAUCCUACAUAUCAACUGACCUGGAACCCAAAGUCACAAGAGUCUGAACCACAUACCACAAAAAUUCACAGGACUAAACUACAUCCUCUAAACAUGUGUAAACUUGUGAAGCUUGGUCAUUACAUGGGGGCACCUAAAAGCAGUAGCAGGUCCUGUGUCUGAUUUUGUUUUCUGCCCUUGUGAUUUUUUUC
rnacentral:sRNA from 1 species